UACGAAGGGGGCUAGCGUUGCUCGGAAUCACUGGGCGUAAAGCGCACGUAGGCGGAUUGCUAAGUCAGGGGUGAAAUCCUGGAGCUCAACUCCAGAACUGCCUUUGAUACUGGCGAUCUUGAGUCCGGGAGAGGUGAGUGGAACUGCGAGUGUAGAGGUGAAAUUCGUAGAUAUUCGCAAGAACACCAGUUGCGAAGGCGGCUGACUGGACACAUAUUGACGCUGAGGCUCGAAAGCAUGGGGAGCAAACAGG
rnacentral:rRNA from 1 species